GUUUUAAUAGUUUAAACAAAACAUUGGUCUUGUAAAUCAAAAUUAAGGCUUACCUUUUAAAACU
rnacentral:tRNA from 1 species